UACUUGGUGGCGACCGGCGCACGGGUGAGUAACGCGUAUGCAACCUACCUAUCAGAGGGGAAGUAACCCGGCGAAAGUCGGACUAAUACCGCAUAAAACAGGGACACCGCAGUGGUGAUAUUUGUUAAAGAAAUUCGCUGAUAGAUGGGCAUGCGUUCCAUUAGGUAGUUGGUGAGGUAACGGCUCACCAAGCCGACAAUGGAUAGGGGAACUGAGAGGUUGGUCCCCCACACUGGUACUGAGACACGGACCAGACUCCUACGGGAGGCAGCAGUGAGGAAUAUUGGUCAAUGGGGCGAGAGCCUGAACCAGCCAAGUCGCGUGAAGGAAGAAGGAUCUAUGGUUCGUAAACUUUCUUUUGCAGGGGAAAUAAAGUGCAGGACGUGUCCUGUUUUGUAUGUACCCUGAGAAUAAGGAUCGGCUAACUCCGUGCCAGCCGCCGC
rnacentral:rRNA from 1 species